rnacentral:tRNA from 1 species
UGGGACCAUAGCUCAGCUGGGAGAGCACCUGCCUUACAAGCAGGGGGUCACAGGUUCGAGCCCNCCCCUUCCAG